GAGAAAUUUGAGCUAAUACCGGNUAAUGUCUUCGGACCAAAGAUUUAUCGCCUUUAGAUGGGCCCGCGUUGGAUUAGCUAGUUGGUGGGUAAAGGCCUACCAAGGCGACGAUCCAUAGCUGGUCUGAGAGGAUGAUCAGCCACACUGGGACUGAGACACGGCCCAGACUCCUACGGGAGGCAGCAGUGGGGAAUAUUGGACAAUGGGCGAAAGCCUGAUCCAGCAAUGCCGCGUGAGUGAUGAAGGCCUUAGGGUUGUAAAGCUCUUUUACCCGAGAUGAUAAUGACAGUAUCGGGAGAAUAAGCUCCGGCUAACUCCGUG
rnacentral:rRNA from 1 species